rnacentral:lncRNA from 1 species
UUAGAUCAUGUGAGUGGGUAGGCGGAAACUUGAGGCCAUUAAUCCUCAUAGUAGGACCGAGGGACAGGAGCGGUAGAUCUAUCUGGGUCAUAUGGAGGACCCUGUUGAUCCCGAGGUUUGUUACUUAGAUCAUGUGAGUGGGUAGGCGGAAACUUGAGGCCAUUAAUCCUCAUAGUAGGACCGAGGGACAGGAGCGGUAGAUCUAUCUGGGUGUAGCGAGCCCAGCCCCAGGUCCAGCUGAACGGACCUCGGGGUGACUUAGUGCCCGACGCAUAAAUCCGCUAGGUUU